UAAUAAAAAAUGCGUUGGACAAUCUGGGCGGAUUUAAUAUUGUCCUACCAAAUAUUGACAACAUUUGGGUGGGCUACAUCGUCAGAGGUAUGUGGGUGGUAUCCGCGUUCGGGUCAACGGGAAACACCUAAUUUGAAACUGUCUCAUAAUGGACCAUGUUUGAAGCCUCAAAAUUUACAAACAGUUAUGUCAAAACCAACCUUACAAUUUUGCGGAAACGAUGGACGCACGUACAAUGGAAAAUCAGAAUUUCAAUCCGCAAAAUUGGAGCAACCUCAUCUUGAAAUAUUGCAUUCAGGGCCAUGCGUGUUGAAACUACCCCUCAAAUGCCUCGGUUGUAUUUACGAAAUAAUACCGAAGAUUAAGAAACGGAUAAUAUUUUAUGUGUCUUCAUCGACUUCUUGUUCUUCAUCGUCAUCCACUUCUUCAUCUUCAUCCACGUCUUGUUCAUCUGAACGAUAAAAAUCAACGGAAAAAGUUUGAGGUGGUGACUUGCACAGACUGGCAAGGACUGUAGGUCGCGCGUUCAUUUAUUUAUUCAUUCAUCUAUUCAUUCAUUUAUUCAUUCAUUUAUUCAUUCAUUAAUUUAUUCAUUAAUUUAUUCAUUCAUUUAUUCAUUUACUUAUUCAUUUAUUUAUUCAUGAAAAAUAAGAAUGUACCUUUAUGUGGUUUUUAAGAUGACGCAUUGAAGUAUUUAGUUACAAGUAUACCUCAAUUUUCUCAACAAUGACUUAAAAGUGCAGAAUGAAAUUAAUUGCUUUGGAUUCUUCUUUUAGCCAACGGUUCACUAUUUGACCUAUGAUUACUAAUUUGAAUUUCAAUUCCAUCAUCAAACCAUACAGCCGAACUUGGCAUUUCAGUCUUUUCAUGAUUAUUGGCUCUGUCUACCACGUAAGGGAUAAAGAUAAGAUUAAAUGUGUUUCUAAACGUU